rnacentral:rRNA from 1 species
CCUACGGGAGACAGCAGUGAGGAAUAUUGGUCAAUGGGCGGGAGCCUGAACCAGCCAAGUCGCGUGAGGGAAGACGGUCCUAUGGAUUGUAAACCUCUUUAGGCGGGGAGCAAUGCCGGGCACGCGUGCCCGGAGGGAGAGUACCCGCAGAAUAAGCACCGGCUAACUCCGUGCCAGCAGCCGCGGUAACACGGAGGAUGCGAGCGUUACCUGGAUUUUUUGGGUUAAAUGGGUGCGUAGGCGGAUCUUUAAGUCAGCGGUAAAAUGUCCGGGCUCAACCCGGGCCGGCCGUUGAAACUGGGGAUCUUGAGUGGGCGAGAAGGAUGCGGAAUGCGUGGUGUAGCGGUGAAAUGCAUAGAUAUCACGCAGAACUCCGAUUGCGAAGGCAACAUACCGGCGCCCAACUGACGCUGAGGCACGAAGGCGUGGGGAUCGAACAGGAUUAGAUACCCCUGUAGUC